AGAGUAGAAUAUUGAUUACGUUUUAAGGGAGGCAGGGGUUUUAGGCAGGAUUUGAUGCAUGAUGUGUGUGUAGAUAUUAAUGUUAAGGGACAAUGUGAGAGAUGUCUACAUUUUAGUAGGAAAACGUAUUAUCUGAUCCACACUCCGGAACAGAAGUGGGCGGUAAUGCACCAAUAAGCUGGAUGCCAACCGCCGUUAAACUGGAAAGAAGACGAAUAUGACAGCUUGCUGUGAGAGACAACGGGACAGAUGAGACACGUGUGUUUAUCUGCUGCAGAGACACUGAUGAAGGAAUGCUAACAUCAAAGGAUUUGUAUCUUUUGUGGUGGAGCAGGACCUGCAAGGAAAGGUGAAAAAAAGGGAAAACCUGAAACAAAAGAAUAAUGUAAUGACUUUUUGUAUUGUGUAUGUGUAUUUUUGUAGGACAUGAAAAUGUCUGUAGACUGGUGUGUGCACUGAGGAUGGAGAAGACAACAGCAUCAUCCUGGAAAUGAUCGAGAGUCACAGAUGAGACACUCCCUCACUCCACCUGCCCUUUACUGUCUCAUCAGGACCAGAUGCUGCUGUGAUGUCUUCAUCCUCAGUUCGAAUACCAGGGAACACAUGUUAGGUAAAAACUGUUAGUCUGAAUGCACUGUAAGUCGCUUUGGAUAAAUGUAUAAUUU